CGAAGAGCGUAAAGGUUUGGCCCAAACAAAAAUCUACAAAACCUAAUAAACCCCCCUUCCUCCCCCCUUUGCCCAUUUUCUUCUUCUUCAACAAUGUCUUUUCUCUUCACAUGAACAGAGCAAACCAACUGAUCAAUCACCGCUUAGAUAGCCAGUCGCCUUCUUUCUUUCCAGAUAUGUUUAUAUAUUGAGUGGAACCUUGAAGAUUACAAUAUAAUGUUGGAAGGACCCACAGUUCUAGAAAAGAUAUUACAAAAUUGAGAUGAAAAUCCUUUCAAAAGUUUUUUAAAAAGUAUACAGGGUACAUUUUAAUCUAUUGAAUGGAAGAAGAGCAAGGUUUCAGCUUUGAGUGAAAUUACUUUAUCCUUGACCGCAGAAGAUCAUCUGGUGGCUACAUUUGCAAUUCUCAUAUCAAAUACUUAGCACUUAGUUUUGUUUUGAUGUGGAACCUUUCUGAAUUUUAUAGAUUAUAGUUAAAUUACCGCCUGUACAUAGUUUGUAUUUUACUCCUAUUAGUUUGACAAGAAUGCAAGGUUGACUUCUUUCUUAUUA